CAUGGCGCGUUGCGUGGUGCUACACUAGCUACGGGGCUAAUGUAAAUAGCAUGUUUAUACGCUACGUUUUACCAAAAAUACGCUCUCUUUUACUCAGCGAGGGUUGUUUUCCGUUUGUUUGCCAGUUUGUUGUAUGUGAGCGUUUACUCUGGGUAGUUAUUCGGGCGUAUCCCCUCCGGGAGCAUUAACAAACUUUAGCUAGCUAGUGGGCUAAUUUAACACCAGUGAACGCUAUUUAUAUCAUUUCAUAUGGCUUUCUAUGAAGUCUACUCUCACCCGGCUUUAAUUCGGUACAAAACGAGUAUUUGCACGAAAGCUACUCUGUUUCUGGUUGCUGUUUUGUGCCUUACCUACAUCCCACCCCUGCUCGUUGCCUACAGGAGCCAAGGUUUUUGGAUAAAAAGAGGUACUUAUGAGGAACAGCCGAUUGUGAGGUUCCAGUACCAGUCUUUGCUGGUGGCAGCAACCAGUACUCAGGGAGACUACGUCGCCUGGAGCACUUUCCCCCAUCUCAACAACAUGCUGGGGACAAACCUCCGGAUCCCUGCUGUCGCUGUAAGAGAAGAGGACCAGAACCAGGAUGGGAAGAUGGACCUCCUGAUUUUUCAGCUGCAGCUACCUCUAAAACCUGACGAACAGGUGUACAGUGUCCAACUGCUGCUCACCUUCAGCUACAAGCUAUUUCGCAUGUCCACAGUGGUGAUGCAGAGCCUGGCUUAUGUACAGCACUCUUCCUCUGUCCCUGGAGCUAAGGUGUUCAUCAGCGGAGACCUGAAGCUACAGCAGAGGACACCGCUGCCUCACCGGGGACUGUACAACAUCUACAAUGUGUCAGUGAUCGAUGGCUCCAGCCCCUUUGCAAGCGCGUAUGACCUUGACAACAUAAUUAGGAGCUACCAGGAAAGAAACUUGACCACAGUACUGUCCUGUCCCAUGCCAGUGUGGACUGUGGGACGAGCGGCAGGCUCUCCCUUUCAGCUUAAUGCUGAAAUCCGGUACCCUUUGGAGGUCAUUAGCUAUCGUCCUGGCUUCUGGGAAACCAUCAAAUUUGCCUGGAUUCAAUAUGUCAGUGUCCUGCUUAUCUUCCUCUGGGUCUUUGAACGCAUUCAGAGAUUUGUUUUUCAGAACCAGGUUCUCACCACCGUACCCAUACCAGUGGGGAAACCUCACCAGUCAUGAUGCAGUGGUUGCUCUUUGACCUCCAGGUACACAAGAACCACCAGGCUGCAUUUUUCAGACUCGCAAACACGGAUACUCUUUGAAAUUGCUUACCUUCCCAGAGCUCCAGCGCCUCGCCACCCGGCCCCCACACCUUUGUGUUCAGUCACGUGCCUCCCUCACCCUCUUGGAUCUCCACCACUCCACGCUUCCCCAGCUCCACCGUUACCUCCAGCCUUACCAGCCCUCACGCUUCACGCGCUUCACCAUACCUCCAGUCAUUCCAGCCUCCUCCACCAUCUCAGUCCCUGUAACCCUUACCCCGACCCCCAUUCCCUCCCUCAACCCUCAAUUAACAUUAAAACCGUUUUUAAUUGAUUUUUCAAGCCCUGUCUGUGUUUGCUCUUCGGUCCUCCUCUUGUUCACGGUGCACCGUACUGCAACAGAACAAUCUGGCCAAGAAUGGACCCAGCGAAUCCAGACUCCAUUAAGGACACCCUUUCAAGCCAAGGAACCCCUUAUUGGCCGCCAUGAUGACAUGAUGCAUGAAGUUAUGGAAACCCUGCAAAAUUUAAAUGGUCACAUCUCCAAUAUCACCACUCAGCUCGCCCAACUAUCCAUCCACUCAGCUGCUUCUAGUGCAGCCAACCCAGUGAAUAACCCACCUGCUUUGGUUAUACCAUCUCCCUUUCCCCACCCUGCAAGAAAGCUCUUUGUUCCUCCACCUGAACUGUGUUGGGGAUUUGGGUUCAUGUGGCCGUAUCUUGCUUCAGUGUUUUUUAGUUUUUGAACAACAGCCCUCUAGUUAUCCUUCUGAUAAAUCUCAGGCAGCAUAUGUGAUGAACUUGUUACAGGAUAAAGCCGCUCGGUGGGCUACCGCAUUGUGGGAGAGGGGUUCCCUGGUUUUGCAUUCUUUCGCGGAUUUUCCUACAGAGCUCCGCAGGGGCUUAUAAUUGAAGAAUUAAAAGAUGGAUUGGCAUCCCGUGAUGAGCCCACAUCACUUGAAAAUUUGAUUUCUCUCGCCAUUGGAAUUGAUAAUUGUCUCAGAGAAAGAAAUAGAGACAGAGUUGGGAGAUCCCGCAGAUCUGCCUCACUUCCCACUCUACAUCCCCCUUCCACAGCUCCUAGUGCCACUCAACCUCCGUCCCAGCUUCAAGUGCCCCCCACUGUCCCGGAGGAACCUAUGCAGUUAGGUCGUGCCUGGCUUACCCCCGCGGAACAUCGACAUCGGUUGGACAAGAACCUGUGCAUCUACUGUGGCCAAGCUUGACACUACUUGGCUAACUGUCUGCCAUUGCUAAAAGGAAAGGCUCAUCGGUAAAGGAGUGCGCACUUGUGAGCCAAACUUCCUCCUCCUCUAGCUCUCCCCCUCGCA